rnacentral:rRNA from 1 species
GUGGGGAAUAUUGGACAAUGGGCGAAAGCCUGAUCCAGCCAUGCCGCGUGUGUGAAGAAGGUCUUCGGAUUGUAAAGCACUUUAAGUUGGGAGGAAGGGCAGUAAGUUAAUACCUUGCUGUUUUGACGUUACGGACAGAAUAAGCACCGGCUAACUUCGUGCCAGCAGCCGCGGUAAUACGAAGGGUGCAAGCGUUAAUCGGAAUUACUGGGCGUAAAGCGCGCGUAUGUGGUUUUGUAAGUUGGAGGUGAAAGCCCCGGGCUCAACCUGGGGACUGCCUCCAAUACUGCAUGACUAGAGUACGGUAGAGGGUAGUGGAAUUUCCUGUGUAGCGGUGAAAUGCGUAGAUAUAGGAAGGAACACCAGUGGCGAAGGCGACUACCUGGACUGAUACUGACACUGAGGUGCGAAAGCGUGGGGAGCAAACAGGAUUAGAUACCCCAGUAGUCC